rnacentral:rRNA from 1 species
CCUACGGGGGGCAGCAGUGGGGAAUAUUGCGCAAUGGGCGAAAGCCUGACGCAGCGACGCCGCGUGAGGGAUGAAGGUCCUCGGAUCGUAAACCUCUGUCAGCAGGGAAGAACGGUCACUGUGCUAAUCAGCAGUGAAUUGACGGUACCUGCAAAGGAAGCACCGGCUAAAUCCGUGCCAGCAGCUGCGGUAAUACGGAGGGUGCGAGCGUUAAUCGGAAUUACUGGGCGUAAAGCGCUCGUAGGCGGUAUGUCAAGUCAAGGGGGAAAUCCCCGCGCUCAACGUGGGAACUGCCUUUGAAACUGGCAAACUGGAGUGUGGGAGAGGAUAGGGGAAUUCCAGGUGUAGGAGUGAAAUCCGUAGAUAUCUGGAGGAACAUCAGUGGCGAAGGCGACUAUCUGGCACAUAACUGACGCUGAGGAGCGAAAGCGUGGGUAGCAAACAGGAUUAGAUACCCCGGGUAGUC